AUGUACCUCAGGUACCUCAUCCUCCCUGCCUUCCUGGGGCAGCCGCUGGGCACCAUGGGACAGACCACUGUCACCCAGCAAGAAGGAGAAAUCACAAUACAGGAAGGAGGCACCUUUCAGACCACAUGCAUGUACCAGGUUUCUAAUUUUGAAAGCCUGCAGUGGUACCAGCAGAGGAAAGGCCAAGCUCCUCAGCUGGUCUUGUUUCAGGCAGCAGCUGGCUCCAAGCACAGAGGCCGUCUCACCACCUUGCUGAAUACCACAGGGAAAUACAGCCUCCUGCAGCUGGAGGAGGUCGAGGGCUCUGACAGUGCCUUGUACCUCUGUGCUGUGGGUGACACCCUGGUGCAGGGAGCUUCCUUGGCUGUGCAACAACCCGGGGGAGGGAGGGGCUGUGUCUGUGCAAGGAUGAGCUGGGGGGAAGGGGCCCUCAGCUCUCCCCUGGCAGCUCUGCUUCUCCUUUGGCCCAGGUGA